rnacentral:rRNA from 1 species
AUGAUCCAGAUACUAUCACUCAUCCACAGCAAAAAGGGGAAACUGAGUAGCAUGCCGUACAUACCAGCUGACGUCACAAACCUACAGGCCAAGUACCGUAGAGAGAGCAAGCUGGCUGACAUUGAGGCCACAAUGGCCUACUUCGAUGAGAAAGCGAAGAAAGAUCCAGAUUUCUUCUACAGGAUAAGAUUGGACGAUGAGGACCGUGUCAGGAACAUGUAUUGGGUGGAUGGUGCUGCAAGGAGAGCCUACAAACAUUUCCGAGAUUGCAUUUCAUUCGACGUGACGUAUCUGACUAAUAUCUACAAGAUGACAUGCGCUCCAUUCAUAGGAAUAAAUAACCCAAUCAGUCGUUGCAGUUUGGCUGCGGGCUCGUUCGGAACGAAGACACGGAUGGGUACGUUUGGCUGUUCAAGACCUUCUUGGAGUGCAUGGAUGGACUUGCUCCGAUGA